GGACUCGUAGCCUAGUCUGGAUAAGGCGACAAAAAAGCAGAUAACAUCUGUUUGUUCGCUAUAGCCUUCUAAGCUGUAGAUCGAGGGUUCGAAUCCCUCCGGGUCCA
rnacentral:tRNA from 1 species